rnacentral:lncRNA from 1 species
GUCCACAUCCAUAUGUGUGAAAGUGCAUGAGGAGGACAUGGAAUGAUGCCACAUAUCUUGCUACAAGUAUGUAUAAACAGUUGCUGUAUAUGAAUGAUCUCUUUCAACGCCCUGGCCUCAGAAGUAUGGAUUGACAAUGAGAAAAAGCAGAUUAUCAAGUACCAUGGAAUGUCAGAAAAUGAAUGAGAAUUGACGAGGGAAAUAUUGAUUUCCUAGGAACAAUAAACACUAGGCCAGGGAAUAAUCAAGUGC